rnacentral:rRNA from 1 species
AUUGAACGCUGGCGGCAGGCCUAACACAUGCAAGUCGAACGGUAACAGGAAGAAGCUUGCUUCUUUGCUGACGAGUGGCGGACGGGUGAGUAAUGUCUGGGAAACUGCCUGAUGGAGGGGGAUAACUACUGGAAACGGUAGCUAAUACCGCAUAACGUCGCAAGACCAAAGAGGGGGACCUUCGGGCCUCUUGCCAUCGGAUGUGCCCAGAUGGGAUUAGCUUGUUGGUGGGGUAACGGCUCACCAAGGCGACGAUCCCUAGCUGGUCUGAGAGGAUGACCAGCCACACUGGAACUGAGACACGGUCCAG